rnacentral:rRNA from 1 species
GACGAACGCUGGCGGCGUGCCUAACACAUGCAAGUCGAACGGAGCACUUCGGUGCUUAGUGGCGAACGGGUGAGUAACGCGUGAGAAACCUGCCUUUCAGUGGGGGACAACAGUUGGAAACGACUGCUGAUACCGCAUAAUGUUAUUUGGGGGCAUCCCUGGAUAACCAAAGAUUUAUUGCUGAAAGAUGGUCUCGCGUCUGAUUAGCUAGUUGGUGAGGUAACGGCUCACCAAGGCGACGAUCAGUAGCCGGUCUGAGAGGAUGAACGGCCACAUUGGAACUGAGAAACGGUCCAG